UCGUCGUUCGCCAUCUUUUCAACAUUGUUUUUCUUUCGGCAUUCGGUAUACGGCGACUUGGCUUAUAUUUUGAGUAUUUUGUGUGCUGUGCUUCCUGCUUUCAGUACUUUCAUUACAGUUAUUUUUUGUGGUAUUAUUAUUAUUGAAGAACAAAUAAUUUAUGUGUAAUAUAAGAUUCGAUAAAUUCUAACCAGAACGAACCAUUGUUGUGUCUACCAUCGUCAUGCCUUGUUUUUUAUUAUUUUGCUAGGUCAAUGAGAUAGCAAGAUCAGGCGGCGGCAGCAGUUGUGAGUUUGUAAAACAAGCUCUGACCCCCCUGAUUUCAAAUGAACUUGCAAUGAAAUUUAAUUUGUUGGGCAUGAAUAAAAAGGAGAAAUUUUCCAAAUUGAAAUUGGCCAGAUUAAUAUUUGAUUUCAUGGUUAUCGUGAACGGCCUUGCCAGAUAUUUCACCAUGACGAUACUGUUAUAAGGAAGGCAUUGUGCCAGUGGUCUAUUCAAAGAAAUAUCGAGAUACCAAACUUUUUCUUAAAAGUCCGUUGGCCAGAUGUAAAUCCACGGCUAGCAAGUGAAGUUAGGCAUCGAGUGAGUUGUUGAUUUAACGUUGGCUUUGGUAUUUUGGGAACAAACCUAAGAGGAGAUCUUAUGAACCUUCCACUAGCCCUCUGCAACAAAAGUUUUUUCAAAAGAAUGGCGCACGGCCACACAAUGCACAGAUUAUUACGAACAUCGCGACAGGUGGAUAGGCAACCUGGAACCAAUCAGAUCAAAAUCACUUCAUACAGUAGGUCCAAUGGAAACGUUGGAGAGUUAGGAGAAGCUGUUACGAAGCGGUUAACAGUUCUGUGAAGCGGUGUUGAGAAGAUUUAUGUUAUGCAAGCAACAAAACGGCGGAUUAUUUGAAUAUUAC